rnacentral:rRNA from 1 species
GGCUUAUUAAUAAUUUUAAGUCAAUCUGCCCAAUGAUAAAUGGCUGCAGUAUAUUAACUGUACAAAGGUAGCAUAAUCAAUUGUUUUUUAAUUAAAAACUAGAAUGAAAGAAUUAAUGAGAUAUAUACUGUCUCAUAUAUAUAAAAUAAAUUUAAAUUUUUAGUAAAAAUGCUUAAAUUAAUUUAUGGGACGAUAAGACCCUAUAGAAUUUUAUAUUUGGGAGGAUUAGUAAAUUAAAAAAACUUUAUUAAAUAAACUUUAAUUUUAGAAUGAUCUUAUAUUAUAAAUUAAAAAAAUAAAUUACCUUAGGGAUAACAGCGUAAUAUCUUUUUAAAGAUCAUAUUAAUAAAGAUGUUUGCGACCUCGAUGUUGAAUUAAGAUAAAUUUUAGAUGAAGAAAUCUAAAUAUUAAGUCUGUUCGACUUUUAAAAUCUUACAUGAUUUGAGUUCAAAUCGACGUAAGU